UGCAGAAUCCCGUGAACCAUCGAGUCUUUGAUGCAAGUUGCGCUCGAGGCCGUUAGGUUGAGAGCACGUCUGUUUGGGCGUCA
rnacentral:rRNA from 1 species